rnacentral:rRNA from 1 species
UACAGAGGUCCCGAGCGUUGUUCGGAUUUAUUGGGCGUAAAGGGUGCGUAGGUGGCAAAGUAAGUUGGAUGUGAAAUCCUGGGGCUCAACCUCAGAAUUGCAUUCAAUACUGCUUAGCUAGAGAGCUGUAGAGGAGACUGGAAUUUACGGUGUAGCAGUGAAAUGCGUAGAGAUCGGAAAGAACACCAACGGCGAAAGCACUCUGCUGGGCCGACACUGACACUGAGAGACGAAAGCUAGGGGAGCGAAUGGG